CACUCCUACGGGAGGCAGCAGUGAGGAAUAUUGGACAAUGGGUGGAAGCCUGAUCCAGCCAUCCCGCGUGCAGGAAGACGGCCCUAUGGGUUGUAAACUGCUUUUAUCUGGGGAUAAACCUACUUACGUGUAAGUAGCUGAAGGUACCAGAAGAAUAAGCACCGGCUAACUCCGUGCCAGCAGCCGCGGUAAUACGGAGGGUGCAAGCGUUAUCCGGAUUUAUUGGGUUUAAAGGGUCCGUAGGCGGACUGAUAAGUCAGUGGUGAAAUCCGACAGCUUAACUGUCGAACUGCCAUUGAUACUGUUAGUCUUGAGUAAGGUUGAAGUGGCUGGAAUAAGUAGUGUAGCGGUGAAAUGCAUAGAUAUUACUUAGAACACCAAUUGCGAAGGCAGGUCACUAAGUCUUAACUGACGCUGAUGGACGAAAGCGUGGGGAGCGAACAGGAUUAGAAACCCUUGUAGUCCCAUGAU
rnacentral:rRNA from 1 species